rnacentral:rRNA from 1 species
GACGAACGCUGGCGGCGUGCCUAAUACAUGCAAGUAGAACGCUGAAGGAGGAGCUUGCUCUUCUGGAUGAGUUGCGAACGGGUGAGUAACGCGUAGGUAACCUGCCUGGUAGCGGGGGAUAACUAUUGGAAACGAUAGCUAAUACCGCAUAAGAGUAGAUGUUGCAUGACAUUUACUUAAAAGGUGCAAUUGCAUCACUACCAGAUGGACCUGCGUUGUAUUAGCUAGUUGGUGGGGUAACGGCUUACCAAGGCGACGAUACAUAGCCGACCUGAGAGGGGGAUCGGCCAUACUGGGACUGAGACACGGCCCAGACUCCUACGGGAGGCAGCAGUAGGGAAUCUUCGGCAAUGGACGGAAGUCUGACCGAGCAACGCCGCGUGAGUGAAGAAGGUUUUCGGAUCGUAAAGCUCUGUUGUAAGAGAAGAACGAGUGUGAGAGUGGAAAGUUCACACUGUGACGGUAUCUUACCAGAAAGGGACGGCUAACUACGUGC